GAUGAACGCUGGCGGCGUGCCUAAUACAUGCAAGUCGAGCGAACGGACGAGAAGCUUGCUUCUCUGAUGUUAGCGGCGGACGGGUGAGUAACACGUGGAUAACCUACCUAUAAGACUGGGAUAACUUCGGGAAACCGGAGCUAAUACCGGAUGAUAUUUUGAACCGCAUGGUUCAAAAGUGAAAGACGGUCUUGCUGUCACUUAUAGAUGGAUCCGCGCUGCAUUAGCUAGUUGGUAAGGUAACGGCUUACCAAGGCAACGAUGCAUAGCCGACCUGAGAGGGUGAUCGGCCACACUGGAACUGAGACACGGUCCAGACUCCUACGGGAGGCAGCAGUAGGGAAUCUUCCGCAAUGGGCGAAAGCCUGACGGAGCAACGCCGCGUGAGUGAUGAAGGUCUUCGGAUCGUAAAACUCUGUUAGUAGGGAAGAACAGAUGUGUAAGUAACUGUGCACAUCUUGACGGUACCUAAACAGAAAGCCACGGCUAACUACGUG
rnacentral:rRNA from 1 species